GACAGAGGAGCCAAGCGUUGUCCGGAUUGACUGGGCGUAAAGCGCACGCAGGCGGAUGCGCGCGUGGGGUGUGAAAUCUGGCCGCUUAACGGCCAGGCGCCAUCCCAUACGGCGCGUCUGGAGUGAUGCAGAGGUCGAUGGAAUUGCCGGUGUAGUGGUGAAAUGCGUAGAGAUCGGCAGGAACACCCCAGGGGGAAACCAG
rnacentral:rRNA from 1 species